AGAGUUUGAUCCUGGCUCAGAUUGAACGCUGGCGGAAUGCUUUACACAUGCAAGUCGAGCGGCAGCACGGGGCAACCUGGUGGCGAGCGGCGAACGGGUGAGUAACACAUCGGAACGUACCCUGUCGUGGGGGAUAACGAGUCGAAAGAUUCGCUAAUACCGCAUACGACCCGAGGGUGAAAGCGGGGGAUCGCAAGACCUCGCGCGACUGGAGCGGCCGAUGGCGGAUUAGCUAGUUGGUGGGGUAAAGGCCCACCAAGGCGACGAUCCGUAGCGGGUCUGAGAGGACGGCCCGCCACACUGGGACUGAGACACGGCCCAGACUCCUACGGGAGGCAGCAGUGGGGAAUUUUGGACAAUGGGGGCAACCCUGAUCCAGCCAUUCCGCGUGAGUGAAGAAGGCCUUCGGGUUGUAAAGCUCUUUCGGCAGGAACGAAAAGGCUCUCUCUAACAUAGGGGGUCAAUGACGGUACCUGAAGAAGAAGCACCGGCUAACUACGUGCCAGCAGCCGCGGUAAUACGUAGGGUGCGAGCGUUAAUCGGAAUUACUGGGCGUAAAGCGUGCGCAGGCGGCUUUGUAAGACAGAUGUGAAAUCCCCGGGCUUAACCUGGGAACUGCGUUUGUGACUGCAAGGCUUGAGUGCGGCAGAGGGGGGUGGAAUUCCACGUGUAGCAGUGAAAUGCGUAGAGAUGUGGAGGAACACCGAUGGCGAAGGCAGCCCCCUGGGUCGACACUGACGCUCAUGCACGAAAGCGUGGGUAGCAAACAGGAUUAGAUACCCUGGUAGUCCACGCCCUAAACGAUGCCAACUAGGUGUUGGGGAAGGAGACUUCCUUAGUACCGUAGCUAACGCGUGAAGUUGGCCGCCUGGGGAGUACGGUCGCAAGAUUAAAACUCAAAGGAAUUGACGG
rnacentral:rRNA from 1 species